GUCCUUAGUUACCAGCACGUUAUGGUGGGCACUCUAAGGAGACUGCCGGUGACAAACCGGAGGAAGGUGGGGGAUGACGUCAAGUCAUCAUGGCCCUUACGGCCUGGGCUACACACGUGCUACAAUGGUCGGUACAAAGGGUUGCCAAGCCGCGAGGUGGAGCUAAUCCCAUAAAACCGAUCGUAGUCCGGAUCGCAGUCUGCAACUCGACUGCGUGAAGUCGGAAUCGCUAGUAAUCGUGAAUCAGAAUGUCACGGUGAAUACGUUCCCGGGCCUU
rnacentral:rRNA from 1 species